UUUCCGUAGGUGAACCUGCGGAAGGAUCAUUACCGAGUACCGGGUCUUCCAGGCCCUUACUCCCACCCUUUGUGUACCUUACCACUAUUCAGUUGCCUUGGCGGGUACGGCUUCGGCCGCCCGCCAGGGGGACCACCUUUAAACUCUGUCAACGGAGUCGUCUGAGAACAAAACAAAUAAGUUAAAACUUUCAACAACGGAUCUCUUGGUUCUGGCAUCGAUGAAGAACGCAGC
rnacentral:misc_RNA from 1 species